ACUCCUACGGGAGGCAGCAGUGGGGAAUAUUGGACAAUGGGCGGAAGCCUGAUCCAGCCAUGCCGCGUGUGUGAAGAAGGCCUUUUGGUUGUAAAGCACUUUAAGCGAGGAGAAGGCUACUUAAAUUAAUACUCUAGGAUAGUGGACGUUACUCGCAGAAUAAGCACCGGCUAACUCUGUGCCAGCAGCCGCGGUAAU
rnacentral:rRNA from 1 species